UUAAAAUAAAACGUAUAGAAAAAAAUAUUGUGUUAACAUCAGCUUUGUCUCUGGUCUCGGCCUUGAGAUUUGAUUUAAACUAAAACACUACAUUA
rfam:Brassica oleracea var. oleracea cultivar TO1000 chromosome C6, whole genome shotgun sequence